CCGGAAUCCCACAGUCCUGCUGCUCUGAUUCGUGUAGGCGAGCACAGGCCAGCUGGUCAAAGGGGGGCCAUGUACAGAGGUCUGGAGCAUAGCCAGCUCCCAACUCUGUUCCUGCCUGUCUGGACCUCAGACCGGCUGUAUCCGCUCUCCUCUCACUCCAGAGAAGAUUUCCACACUCACACCAGGUAGCUUUACCAGCUCUGGGGGACACGGCACACUACUCCAGCCUUGACAAACAUCUGUGAGCAUCACACUCACACAGACACAUGUAUACAGGAUAUAGAGGAAUCAACCCCGAACCGACUAGGACUAACUUCCUGCUGGCUACCUUUCAAGGAAGGUGUUACACUGGGGAGAAAAGGAUAUUGGUGGCUUUACCUGAUGCUGGACCCCGUAAUACUGACUAACAG
rnacentral:lncRNA from 1 species